rnacentral:rRNA from 3 species
UACGUAGGGUGCGAGCGUUAAUCGGAAUUACUGGGCGUAAAGCGUGCGCAGGCGGUUGUGUAAGACAGGUGUGAAAUCCCCGGGCUUAACCUGGGAACUGCGCUUGUGACUGCACGGCUAGAGUAUGGCAGAGGGGGGUGGAAUUCCACGUGUAGCAGUGAAAUGCGUAGAGAUGUGGAGGAACACCGAUGGCGAAGGCAGCCCCCUGGGCCAAUACUGACGCUCAUGCACGAAAGCGUGGGGAGCAAACAGG